rnacentral:rRNA from 1 species
UUUUGCGGUACUCUGACCGUGCAAAGGUAGCAUAAUCAUUUGCCUUAUAAUUGAAGGCUUGUAUGAAUGGUUUGACAAGAAUAAAGCUGUCUCUUUACAAAUAAAUAUAACUUUAUUUACAGGUGAAGAAGCCUGUAUUGUAUUGAAAGACAAGAAGACCCUAUCGAGCUUUAAAUAAAUUAGUAAAAAGUAAAUUGUAUUUAUAUCGAAUUAGUUACUAAAAAUUUUAGUUGGGGCGACUAAGGAACAACUAAAGCUUCCUAAAAGAUUUUAAAUACUAUCAGGUUGUGAUCCAAAAAUUUUGAUUAAAGAAAUUAGUUACCGUAGGGAUAACAGCAUUAUCUUUUUUAAGAGUUCAAAUCGAAAAAAAGGUUUGUGACCUCGAUGUUGGACCAGAAUAUCCUGAAGAUGCAGCCGUCUUCAAGGGUUGGUCUGUUCGACCAUUAAAAGUCUACGUGA